rnacentral:rRNA from 1 species
UGGGGAAUCAUGGUCAAUGGGCGAAAGCCUGAGCCUGCGACGCCGCGUGAGUGAUGAAGGUCGUAAGAUCGUAAAACUCUUUUCAGGGAUCUUAAAGCACAACCGUCAACAACGGCUGUGUGUGACUCUCCCUGGAAGAAGCCCCAGCCAACUACGUGCCAGCAGCCGCGGUAACACGUAGGAGGCGAGCGUUAUUCGGAUUUACUGGGCGUAAAGCGCGUGCAGGCGGCUCGAUAAGUUGGAUGUGAAAGCUCCCGGCUUAACUGGGAGAGGUCGUUCAAUACUGUCGGACUAGAGGAUGAGAGAGGGAGGUGGAAUUCCGAGUGUAGUGGUGGAAUGCGUAGAUAUUCGGAGGAACACCAGUGGCGAAAGCGGCCUCCUGGCUCAUAUCUGACGCUCAGACGCGAGAGCGUGGGUAGCAAACA